UUUUGGACAAUGGGCGCAAGCCUGGUCCAGCAAUGCCGCGUGCAGGAAGAAGGCCUUCGGGUUGUAAACUGCUUUUGUACGGAACGAAACGGUCCUGGUUAAUACCUGGGGCUAAUGACGGUACCGUAAGAAUAAGCACCGGCUAACUACGUGCCAGCAGCCGCGGUAAUACGUAGGGUGCAAGCGUUAAUCGGAAUUACUGGGCGUAAAGCGUGCGCAGGCGGUUUUGUAAGACAGGCGUGAAAUCCCCGGGCUUAACCUGGGAAUGGCGCUUGUGACUGCAAAGCUGGAGUGCGGCAGAGGGGGAUGGAAUUCCGCGUGUAGCAGUGAAAUGCGUAGAUAUGCGGAGGAACACCGAUGGCGAAGGCAAUCCCCUGGGCCUGCACUGACGCUCAUGCACGAAG
rnacentral:rRNA from 1 species